rnacentral:lncRNA from 1 species
GGAAAUGUUUAUAUGCCUUACAUGUUUUUGGUCUUCUUCUCCUUCUCUUGUUUGUUUAUUUUUCAUUUUAUAUAGCGAUUGAAUGUGAACUCGUGAUAUAUAUUUAACUAUUAUGUUACCUAAAAUAUUUUUUUAAUGUUUAUUUUAUUAAUUUUUGAAAAAACACAUGCAAUCUAGCGUUUUACAGUACUUUUUAAUGGCGUAUUGUGUACUACUUGUAUUUUAAUUAUUUUAAUAAUGAAAUAUGAGAGUCAGGUAGAAAAUAUUCGGACACUAUUUAAAUUCGGAGAAAGAAG